rnacentral:rRNA from 1 species
AUGAAGCCUCGGGGCCAGGGGUCACCUGCACUACAGAAUACAAGUGUUUGCAGUUUGCUCACUAGAAUGUUGAAUGAGACUACAUCAUUAUUACUCAAAAAAAACAUUUUUUAUUUGUUCAGAAUUGUUCUUUGUGUCCAUGGCAAAAAAUAUUUUUUUUGGUUAAUGCAAUCCUCCCGUGGAAGCACUAAAACACCUGCAUGUUUUAGUGUACAUGUUAAAACUGCACUAAUUUUGGUGUGCAUGUGUUUUAAAAAAACACCUAUUACACAUUUCUUGUUGAAAGUCGGUGUCUUUGCCUGA